rnacentral:rRNA from 1 species
AAUUCGAUGCAACGCGAAGAACCUUACCAGGCCUUGACAUCCCGGGAAUCCCCUGGAAACAGGGGAGUGCCCUUCGGGAACCCGGUGACAGGUGCUGCAUGGCUGUCGUCAGCUCGUGUCGUGAGAUGUUGGGUUAAGUCCCGCAACGAGCGCAACCCUUGUCUUUAAUUGCCAUCAUUUAGUUGGGCACUUUAAAGAGACUGCCGGUGUUAAGCCGGAGGAAGGUGGGGAUGACGUCAAGUCCUCAUGGCCUUUAUGCCCAGGGCUACACACGUGCUACAAUGGGCGGUACAGACGGACGCAAAGCCGCGAGGUGGAGCAAAUCCUAAAAAGCCGGUCUCAGUUCGGAUUGCAGGCUGCAAUUCGCCUGCAUGAAGUCGGAAUCGCUAGUAAUCGCAGGUCAGCAUACUCGCGGUCGAAUACGUUCCCGGGCCUU